UACGUAGGGUGCGAGCGUUAAUCGGAAUUACUGGGCGUAAAGCGUGCGCAGGCGGUGAUGUAAGACAGGUGUGAAAUCCCCGGGCUUAACCUGGGAACUGCAUUUGUGACUGCAAGGCUGGAGUGCGGCAGAGGGGGAUGGAAUUCCGCGUGUAGCAGUGAAAUGCGUAGAUAUGCGGAGGAACACCGAUGGCGAAGGCAAUCCCCUGGGCCUGCACUGACGCUCAUGCACGAAAGCGUGGGGAGCAAACAGG
rnacentral:rRNA from 1 species